GCAGCCGCCACGGUAAUACGAAGGGUGCAAGCGUUAAUCGGAAUUACUGGGCGUAAAGCGUGCGUAGGCGGUGAGUUAAGUCUGCUGUGAAAUCCCCGGGCUCAACCUGGGAAUGGCAGUGGAUACUGGCUCGCUAGAGUGUGUCAGAGGAUGGUGGAAUUCCCGGUGUAGCGGUGAAAUGCGUAGAGAUCGGGAGGAACAUCAGUGGCGAAGGCGGCCAUCUGGGACAACACUGACGCUGAGGCACGAAAGCGUGGGGAGCAAACAGGAUUAGAUACCCCAGUAGUCCCUGUCUCUUAUAC
rnacentral:rRNA from 1 species